AGCGAACGCUGGCGGCAGGCCUAACACAUGCCAGUCGAACGAACUCUUCGGAGUUAGUGGCGGACGGGUGAGUAACACGUGGGAACGUGCCUUUUGGUUCGGAAUAACUCAGGGAAACUUGUGCUAAUACCGAAUGCGCCCUUCGGGGGAAAGAUUUAUCGCCAUUAGAGCGGCCCGCGUCUGAUUAGCUAGUUGGUGAGGUAACGGCUCACCAAGGCGACGAUCAGUAGCUGGUCUGAGAGGAUGACCAGCCACACUGGGACUGAGACACGGCCCAGACUCCUACGGGAGGCAGCAGUGGGGAAUCUUGCGCAAUGGGCGAAAGCCUGACGCAGCCAUGCCGCGUGAAUGAUGAAGGUCUUAGGAUUGUAAAAUUCUUUCACCGGGGACGAUAAUGACGGUACCCGGAGAAGAAGCCCCGGCUAACUUCGUG
rnacentral:rRNA from 1 species